GAACGUUGGCGGCGUGGAUUAGGCAUGCAAGUCGAACGCAGGACCGGCUUCGGUUGGUCUUGAGUGGCGAAAGGGUGAGUAAUGCAUAAACAAUCUGCCCCUGAGACUGGGAUAGCUACUGGAAACGGUAGGUAAUACCAGAUGGCCCCACGAUGUGGCAUCACAAUGUGGGUAAACGGUAGGGAUCUUCGGACCUUCUGCUCGGGGAGGAGUUUAUGUCCUAUUAGCUAGUUGGUGAGGUAAUGGCUCACCAAGGCUGUGAUGGGUAGCUGGUCUGAGAGGAUGGUCAGCCACACUGGGACUGAGACACUGCCCAGACUCUUACGGGAGGCUGCAGUCGAGAAUCUUCCGCAAUGGGCGAAAGCCUGACGGGGCGACGCCGCGUGGAGGAUCGAAGGCCUUCGGGUUGUAAACUCCUUUCAAGCGGGGACGAAUAACUGUGCGUUAAUAGCGUACGGUGUGACAUAACCCGCAGAAGAAGCUCCGGCUAACCCUGUG
rnacentral:rRNA from 1 species